rnacentral:rRNA from 1 species
GACGAACUGUGCGAACGUUGUUCGGAAUCACUGGGCUUAAAGGGUGCGUAGGCGACCCGUUAAGUCGGGGGUGAAAUACUUCGGCUCAACCGGAGAAUUGCCUUCGAUACUGGCGGGCUAGAGGAAGGUAGGGGUCGCGGGAACUGCCAGUGGAGCGGUGAAAUGCGUUGAUAUUGGCAGGAACGCCGGUGGUGAAGACGCGCGGCUGGACCUUUUCUGACGCUGAGGCACGAAAGCCAGGGGAGCAAACGGG